AGUGAACGCUGGCGGUAGGCCUAACACAUGCAAGUCGAACGGCAGCACAGUAAGAGCUUGCUCUUACGGGUGGCGAGUGGCGGACGGGUGAGGAAUACAUCGGAAUCUACUUUUUCGUGGGGGAUAACGUAGGGAAACUUACGCUAAUACCGCAUACGACCUACGGGUGAAAGCAGGGGAUCUUCGGACCUUGCGCGAUUGAAUGAGCCGAUGUCGGAUUAGCUAGUUGGCGGGGUAAAGGCCCACCAAGGCGACGAUCCGUAGCUGGUCUGAGAGGAUGAUCGGCCACACUGGAACUGAGACACGGUCCAGGCUCCCAGGGGAGGCAGCAGGGGGCAAUAUUGGAGAAUGGGGGCAAGCCUGAGCCAGCCACGCCGCGUGGGUGAAGAAGGCCUUCGGGUGGUAAAGCCAUUUUGUUGGGAAAGAAAAGCAGCAGGUUAAUACCCCGCUGUUCUGACGGUACCCAAAGAAUAAGCACCGGCAAACUUCGU
rnacentral:rRNA from 1 species